CUAUGUGCUAUCGUUUCUCCAGAUCCCAAGUAUUUUGACAUCGCCAAUAGUGUCGGAAUCAUUCCCAAAAACUCUGGAGGUUACACCCUACAAGACAUACAGAGCUUUUAUCCAGGCACCACUGUAGAGCAAGCUUUGUCAGUCUUUGCUUUCACGAGAAACACAACGCAAACACAGCCUUACGUUAGCACUGAAUGCCCACUGGUCAAAUCCUCUCUGCUAAGCUGUGACAGCACCAACCUGCCAGUGGCCGUGAAUAAAUGCGAUUUUAUUUUCAAGUCUCCCAAGUUCGUGGACUGCAUCUCAGGCGCUGGCUCUUCUACAUCGAUUCCACUUCAGCUGUACAGGGCGUGUGUUGAUAAUUACUGCGGUGCAAGUAACCAGUGCGCCACCAUCCAGGGCAUCGUAGGAUCAUGCACUGUGAACACAGGUCCUCAGCUAACCACCCUGCUCGCCGAAGCUUGCGCUCCUUAAAAACAAUGUCAAAGGGAUGCUAUCGACGACAAAUGACCCUUCAAAUAAGUCAGACGGAGCUACUUACCCUUACUUUGUCGUUGUUUUUCGUGCAUAAGUCAGAUAAUAAAUACAAAUGUUUAUUGUA
rnacentral:sRNA from 1 species